GCGCCCGUAGCUCAAUGGACAGAGCAUCGGCCUUCUAAGCCGCUGGUUGCAGGUUCGACUCCUGCCGGGCGCGCCA
rnacentral:tRNA from 1 species